ACGGCUGAUGAUACCUGAACUAAGCCCAUAUCGUCUAAUCAAUACCCAAACUAUUUGACUGUGCUAAACGAUACCUAAACUAAAUUAAAUUUUGAAUUCGAUACCUGAAGUUAAAUGAAAAGGCUUUACAAUACAUGUGACCGACAACGUGUCAGUAGCAAGCUGACAUGAACCGGUGUGAGUUGAGUCAACUUACUCUUACAAAAUGACGUAGUAUCUUUGAAUAAAAAACAAAAUUGAGCUUACCUCACGUCGAACCUAGGGUUCCAAAGAUUAUCAACGCUCAAAUAACCACUAGAGCUGGCGAGUUAUCAUUGCGGUUCGUUGUUUUCAUUUCGAGGAAGAGGGAGAUUGAAUUGUGUUUGGCACAUCGGAAUCGAAACUAAAGGUGUCAAAAUCCUUCGAAAAUGAGGUAAAUAGUGGUUUCGGGUUUUUUAAAGAAAACAUACAAAUCUUAAGCUUUUUGUAUAUAUUUCGAUUAUGUGAUGAUUUGAAGAUAGUUACACCGACUAUAUUUCCAUUCAGUUAAGAUUUGUAUGU
rnacentral:lncRNA from 1 species